rnacentral:rRNA from 1 species
UACGAAGGGUGCAAACGUUGCUCGGAAUUACUGGGCGUAAAGCGUGCGCAGGCGGCUAUGCAAGACAGAUGUGAAAUCCCCGGGCUCAACCUGGGAACUGCAUUUGUGACUGCAUAGCUAGAGUACGGUAGAGGGGGAUGGAAUUCCGCGUGUAGCAGUGAAAUGCGUAGAUAUGCGGAGGAACACCGAUGGCGAAGGCAAUCCCCUGGACCUGUACUGACGCUCAUGCACG